AAGCACAAACUGGUACCAAGCUUUUGUUUUCCCCUGCGGAGUCUCUCAUAGGUCUACACGGUCCUCUACCCUGGGAACCAGCAUCUCUCCAGGGGCGAGGAAGGGGCUUGGGACUCCGGAGCAUGGAAAUGCCUCUCCCAAAAUGCCUGACAUUCUGGAACCAGGCAGCCCUACAGUGGAGCGAAGAGUAUAAUCCUGCUCCUCUUGCCAGAACGUAGUCGCCACAGCCCCAGGCUCUCAUCUGUUAGCUUCGCUGAUCUGUCUCAGUCAUCCAAAACUACCCAGCACAGAACAUGCAAUAAAUACUUGGUG